rnacentral:lncRNA from 1 species
CCUUCGGGUUCCGUUCUUGCGCCCGGCGCGCACCGAAACGCCCGAAUGCACCCAAACUUCACCGGAACCAUUCCAACGGCUCUCCAACCAAUAUACACCGCAACUUCAUAAUUUUAAAAGUUCGGUACCUUACAAAAAUGUUGUAGAUCUGGACGAGAAUGAUGCUAGGAAAUUUUUAGAGAGAGAAAGGAGGAGUUUUGAUGAAGUAUUGUGGGAAAAAUAAAAGUUAUACCGAUAUUUAAAAAGAAUUCCGCAGAGCUGGUACUGAUACUCGAACCCGCGUACCGGUACCCCGUAUAAAAAACUAUUUUU